rnacentral:tRNA from 1 species
AGGGCUAUCGCCAAGCGGUAAGGCAUCGCACUUUGACUGCGAAAUUCAUCAGUUCGAAUCUGAUAUGCCCUG